rnacentral:rRNA from 1 species
UACAGAGGGUGCAAGCGUUAAUCGGAAUUACUGGGCGUAAAGGGCGCGUAGGCGGAUAAAUAAGUUAUGAGUGAAAUACCCGGGCUUAACCUGGGAAUGGCUUAUAAGACUGUGUAUCUAGAGUAAGGUAGAGGGGAGUAGAAUUCCCGGUGUAGCGGUGAAAUGCGUAGAUAUCGGGAAGAAUACCGGUGGCGAAGGCGGCUCCCUGGACCAAUACUGACGCUGAGGCGCGAAAGCGUGGGGAGCAAACAGG